rnacentral:rRNA from 1 species
AGUGAACGCUGGCGGUAGGCCUAACACAUGCAAGUCGAACGGCAGCACAGUAAGAGCUUGCUCUUACGGGUGGCGAGUGGCGGACGGGUGAGGAAUACAUCGGAAUCUACUUUUUCGUGGGGGAUAACGUAGGGAAACUUACGCUAAUACCGCAUACGACCUACGGGUGAAAGCAGGGGAUCUUCGGACCUUGCGCGAUUGAAUGAGCCGAUAUCGGAUUAGCUAGUUGGCGGGGUAAAGGCCCACCAAGGCGACGAUCCGUAGCUGGUCUGAGAGGAUGAUCAGCCACACUGGAACUGAGACACGGUCCAGACUCCUACGGGAGGCAGCAGUGGGGAAUAUUGGACAAUGGGCGCAAGCCUGAUCCAGCCAUACCGCGUGGGUGAAGAAGGCCUUCGGGUUGUAAAGCCCUUUUGUUGGGAAAGAAAAGCAGCAGGUUAAUACCCCGCUGUUAUGACGGUACCCAAAGAAUAAGCACCGGCUAACUUCGUG